rnacentral:rRNA from 1 species
GAUGAACGCUGGCGGCGUGCCUAAUACAUGCAAGUCGAGCGAACAGACGAGGAGCUUGCUCCUCUGACGUUAGCGGCGGACGGGUGAGUAACACGUGGAUAACCUACCUAUAAGACUGGGAUAACUUCGGGAAACCGGAGCUAAUACCGGAUAAUAUAUUGAACCGCAUGGUUCAAUAGUGAAAGACGGUUUUGCUGUCACUUAUAGAUGGAUCCGCGCCGCAUUGGCUGGUUGGUACGGUAACGGCUUACCAAGGCAACGAUGCGUAGCCGACCUGAGAGGGUGAUCGGCCACACUGGAACUGAGCCACGGUCCAGGCUCCUACGGGAGGCAGCAGUAGGGAAUCUUCCGCAAUGGGCGAAAGCCUGACGGAGCAACGGCGCGUGAGUGAUGAAGGUCUUCGGAUCGUAAAACUCUGUUAUUAGGGAAGAACAAAUGUGUAAGGAACUAUGCACGUCUUGACGGUACCUAAUCAGAAAGCCACGGCUAACUACGUG